rnacentral:rRNA from 1 species
AGUGAACGCUGGCGGCGUGCUUAACACAUGCAAGUCGAACGAGAACGGAAUAUAGCUUGCUAUAUUUGUCAGCUAAGUGGCGCACGGGUGAGUAAUAUAUAGAUAACCUGCCCUUAAGAAAGGAAUAACAGUUGGAAACGACUGCUAAUGCCCUAUAUGCCUUUAAUACAUAAGUAUGCAAGGGAAACGCUUUAGUGCUUAAGGAUGGGUCUGUAUGGUAUCAGCUUGUUGGUGAGGUAAUGGCUCACCAAGGCUAUGACGCCUAACUGGUUUGAGAGGAUGAUCAGUCACACUGGAACUGAGACACGGUCCAGACUUCUACGGGAGGCAGCAGUGGGGAAUAUUGCACAAUGGACGAAAGUCUGAUGCAGCAACGCCGCGUGGAGGAUGACACAUUUCGGUGCGUAAACUCCUUUUAUAUAGGAAGAUAAUGACGGUACUAUAUGAAUAAGCACCGGCUAACUCCGUGCCAGCCGCCGCAGUAA